rnacentral:ncRNA from 1 species
UAGCAGGCGAUGAUGGGGAGAGUAUGGCCGCCGCUUCUUUCGACAGAGAGCCGGGCUUGGUGGAAACCGGCGAAAGGCCGCAGCCAGAAAGCCACCCUGGAGCCGUCGGGCCGAACGGACAAAGUAAGCCUGACCGUAUCCUGGCGUUAACAGGAUCAAAGGGAGCCGGACGCUUGCCGGCUAAUAUAGGUGGUACCGCGGGAACCAAAGUUCUCGUCCUUGAA